rnacentral:rRNA from 1 species
GACGUAGGGCGCGAGCGUUGUCCGGAUUUAUUGGGCGUAAAGAGCUCGUAGGCGGCUUGUCGCGUCGUCCGUGAAAACCCACAGCUCAACUGUGGGCUUGCGGUCGAUACGGGCAGGCUAGAGUUCGGUAGGGGAGACUGGAAUUCCUGGUGUAGCGGUGAAAUGCGCAGAUAUCAGGAGGAACACCGGUGGCGAAGGCGGGUCUCUGGGCCGAUACUGACGCUGAGGGGCGAAAGCGUGGGGAGCGAACAGG